rnacentral:rRNA from 1 species
AAUCCUAGCUCAGGAUGAACGCUAGCGGCAGGCUUAACACAUGCAAGUCGAGGGGCAGCAUAAUGGAUAGCAAUAUCUAUGGUGGCGACCGGCGCACGGGUGCGUAACGCGUAUGCAACCUACCUUUAACAGGGGGAUAACACUGAGAAAUUGGUACUAAUACCCCGUAAUAUCAUAGAAGGCAUCUUUUAUGGUUGAAAAUUCCGAUGGUUAGAGAUGGGCAUGCGUUGUAUUAG